CUACGGGGUGCUGCAGUAAGGAAUAUUGGGCAAUGGACGCAAGUCUGACCCAGCCAUGCCGCGUGCAGGAUGACAGCCCUACGGGUUGUAAACUGCUUUUAUACGGGAAAAAACCCCUGCACGAGUUGCGGGGUUGAUGGUACCGUAAGAAUAAGCAUCGGCUAACUCCGUGCCAGCAGCCGCGGUAAUACGGAGGAUGCAAGCGUUAUCCGGAUUCAUUGGGUUUAGAGGGUGCGUAGGCGGAAUGAUAAGUCAGUGGUGAAAUCCUACAGCUUAACUGUAGAACUGCCAUUGAUACUGUUGUUCUUGAGUACAUUUGAAGUGGGCGGAAUGUGUCAUGUAGCGGUGAAAUGCAUAGAGAUGACACAGAACACCGAUCGCGAAGGCAGCUCACUAAACUGUAACUGACGCUGAGGCACGAAAGCGUGGGGAUCAAACAGGAUUAGAUACCCGCGUAGUC
rnacentral:rRNA from 1 species